rnacentral:rRNA from 1 species
GACGGAGGAUGCAAGUGUUAUCCGGAAUCACUGGCGUAAAGCGUCUGUAGGUGGUUCAAUAAGUCAACUGUUAAAUCUUGAGGCUCAACUUCAAAAUCGCAGUCGAAACUAUUGGACUCGAGUAUAGUAGGGGUAAAGGGAAUUUCCAGUGGAGCGGUGAAAUGCGUAGAGAUUGGAAAGAACACCAAUGGCGAAAGCACUUUACUGGGCUAUUACUGACACUGAGAGACGAAAGCUAGGGUAGCAAAUGGG